UUCAUUUCUUCUUCCAAACCGAUCAAGAAUAUCAACAAAACUAACCCAGAUCCUCAACAGCUGAUCGCUGUCACCACCACCACCAAUCUUGUUCCUGUCAAAUUGAACCCAAAAUCCUAACUCCUAAUUCUUUCCAAAAAUUCAACUGAAAUUCUACAGAAAAACCUUGCUUGGAUUGACUUCUGGUUAGCUGCUUUCUGAUGGGUGGAUCGUAGAAUUGAUGUGUUCCUUAAUUGUUGGCCUCUUGGAAUUGUUGUGGAUUAUCCAUGCGCUGAAUUCUUGUUUCCUGCUAAUUUACCAAAACCUUUUUACAAAUAUUUGCUACCAAAAUCAUUCCCUUGUAUUCUUACUAGGAAUUGCUUCUAUCAGCUGCCUUAACUCAAAUUUUGGUCUUGCUCUAUUUUCACCCCCAUUGAGCUUGAUUGCUUCUACUGUUUUUUGGGUUUGAUUUUUGCUCCAUAUUAAUGUCAAUUGUUCACUAUCUUCUUUUUGAA